GUGAAAGAGUUGAGCAUCAUGGACGUGGAGCCACCAGGUGUGAGGCUGUGUUAAAACUUCUCAUUAGUCAUAUCGGUGGUUUAAAUGUGGUUUUAACAUCAUGAAGAUAAACGAGAACACUUUGCUGGAGGGACACAGAGUCGUGUUGGUGCCUUACAAUGCAGAGCACGUGCCCAGGUAUCAUGAGUGGAUGAAGUCUCCUGAGCUGCAGCAGCUGACAGCCUCAGAGCCGCUGACCCUGGAACAGGAGUACGACAUGCAAAAGAGCUGGAGGGAAGAUGAUGACAAGUGCACGUUCAUCAUCUUGGACAAGAAGCAGUGGGCGGACAGCAGUGUAGACCAAGAGCAGUGCAUGGUGGGAGAUGUCAACAUCUUCCUGACUGACCCCACAGACCCGUCCCUGGCUGAGCUGGAGAUCAUGAUAGCAGAACCCAGUUAUAGAGGAAGAGGCAUCGGGAAGGAGGUGACCUGCAUGAUGAUGAGCUACGGAGUCGCCAAACUUGGGGUCAAAAAGUUUGAAGUGAAAAUUGGGCUGGACAACGAGGUCAGCAUCGCCAUGUUCAAGAAACUCCACUUCCAGGAGGUGUCGGUGUGUAAAGUGUUCAAGGAGGUGACCCUCGAGAUGCCGGUGGAUGAGUCUGUCCGGAUGAGGCUGCUGGACGACACGGCCGACAUGAAGGAGAGAGACUACAGACAGGCCUGCAGCGACAGACAGAAACUGGUUUCACAGUGAAAAACCGAAGUUUAAAAAUGACCUUUGGACCAAACCAGGAAGAUGGACGUCAAUAUUUAUGGGAACCGACCAAAUCGAGUCUCUAAAAGCAAGAACUGAGAACUGUCAAGUACUGAAAGCACAGAUGGGCUUCUAACUACGGUGGCUGACCUGAACGCAAUCGCCCGAUCUCGAGGCAGUGUUUGGUUUCUCUGCUCUGGGCUACUGUAGAAACAUGGCGGUGCAACAUGGUGAUCUCCAUAAACGAGAAAACGCUCCCUAGAUCAUCCCAUCCUCCUUUAAUGCAUCAGACUGAUCCACUGGACUACUGGCACAGUAUCGACACUCUGCAUGCUUGUAUGUAUGGCCUAGAGUGGAUGUCCAUCAGGAAAAAGGCCCAGCAGAGGAAGUUCAACCUGCCUCAUGAGCUGCAGAUCUAAUUCUACACAAUUAUUCAUUCUAACUUUAUUGCAUCCAUCACUGUGUGGAUUGGACCAGUCACCAAACAGGUUACAACAGACAGUCAUUUCGUGGAAAGAGUCAAUAAUGCCAGCCUGCCCUACAUUCAGGACUUAAUCAUGUCUAGAGUCAGGAAACAGGCAGCAAUCACUACUACAGAUGCAUCCCAACCUGUUCCAACUUCUCCCCUAUGGAAGGUGCUACUGAAAACUGUUGGCAAAACAACCAGACAUAGUUUCUUUCCACAGGAAAGAUCAACAGUUAACACAGCCCAUAGUGUCAGGACCAAUUUCUGAACAAUCCUUGUGCAAAAACUUGAACACCAAGUAUCCACCUGUAAGUGAUACAUUCUUAUAGUUUAACUAUACACUGCUAAACAUUUAUAUAUCAACUUUGCCAAAUAUAAAUCUAUGCACACUGUACAUACUGUAAAUGCUGUCACGUUAAUCACUGUUUUUUUUUAAAUAUAUAUAUGUUAUCACGCUUUGUUAAAUAUAUUUAUAUCUGUCCAAUAGCUGUAUGUAGUAGUUAAAUAGUUAAGUUUUACAUUUGUCCAGCUCUGUUGUCUUUGUUUAAGCUGUAUGUCUGUUUUGGUAUACUGCUGUGCAUUUUUGUCUAUGUGCAAUCAAGGUGCAUCAGAAAUGAAAGUAAAAUUCAUUGUAUUUGCACACAUACUCAAGUCAAUAAAGCUGAUUCUGAUUUAAAAA